GAUGCAUUCAUUUAAACUUAUUCACUUUUCUUCUUCUUUAGCUCCUCGAGCAGCCGUCAUGAAGAAAACUUGACCAAACUGGAAACCCAUUCUGAUGAUUUGUUCUGGAUAUUUUUGAGGAAAAUACAAUGUAACUGCCCUAUGUUACAGAUCCAUUGCGAUUGAUGUGCUCUAAUGAUGCUCGGCUCAUGGUACUCAGGGCAUCGAGGAAGCUCAACUAGAUGCAAGUUGGGCGACACGAAGCUACUUAGACAGGACUCGUCAUUCAGGCAAUGACGAGUCACUUUUCCUUAUGUAUAUUUUACAUUUACUUUGCAUCUGCAAAUGUAUAGUAUUUUCCUCAUCUGCACCAUACCAGUUAGUCUCAUGGCUUGUUUGAGACAUUGUACAUUCAUAUCAAUAAAGUUU